rnacentral:lncRNA from 1 species
AUAACACGUUACGGCAGAACUUGAAAUGGAAAACCGGAAGAGUGCAGGGUCAUGUAAGAUGAACUAUCUUAUCCUGGCACUUUGGCAUGUUUGAAUGUGGAAGGCCUUGAAAUUGGGAUGAAGAAGGCCAGGGAAUGUCACAGAAAU